rnacentral:snoRNA from 1 species
UGUCCAUGAUGAAUGUAAAAAUGACAAGCAUAUGACUGAAGUUAAAUAUGAUGUCAUCUUACUCCUGAGAAG